AUGGAAGAAACCCCACGGCGGUGCCGUGGCCGGUGGAGACCCUUCCCCUGCCUUCGUGGCGGCCUUGCCUCCCCUCCUUCUUCCCUGGGAGGCUGUUUUGGGCUCUGCCCGUGCUGGGAAGGGGCUCUCCUAAAAGCAAUUUGGGUAAUUAACCGUUGCAAGGCGGCGUUUCCUGUGCUUGGCUGGAAAUGCCGGGGAUGGCGAGUUCCCCCAGUUCCUCCUUUGGGGCCGAGCGAGCGGCGUGCCCUGGGGUCUGAAUCCCAAAGCCUUUAUCUCGGGGCUGCAUUUCGAGCAGGCUGCAGCUCCUCGCAUCCCCGGGGCCCUUAUCAGCCCCGAGCCGGGGGGUUUCCUGCCCUUAUCAGCUCCAAUUCGGGCAGGGCAGUUGGAGCCGCGGUCAGGGCGAGCCGCAUCGCGCCGCAUCCCCUCCGGCCACCGCCUGCUCCGUCCCCGCAGGUGAGCAAUCCCAAGGGGCAGGGAAAGGGUUUGGGAGGGGGAUUUGGGGCUGCUGGGGGCCACCUGGGGUCGUGCUUUGGGCUUUUCAGCAGCUGGGGGGGCUCGGCAACGUCGCGCACGCUGCAGCCACCUCCCCGUGCCCGGGGCUGGUGGCACGAGGUCCCCAACACGGGGACGUCCCCCUCUGGGGGAUGCGUCGUUGGGAUGAAAUUUCCCCAGUUUGAGUCAUUUGCAGAGGGGAGCGGUGGCACCAAACCUUCUGGCCGGGGUUUUAGCGGGGAGAUGAGAGGGCGAAGGUUUUUUUUCCACUCGGAAGAGCGAAGUCGGCGCUUAAAUAACCCCGGGGCAGGUGAAGAUAAGGAGGAAACGGCUGGGACAGCGGCGCUGAGCGUGGCCGGUGCUGGGCUGCGAUCGCAGCUCUCCUGGACAGUAAAAAAAUCAAUGAAUGGGAUUUUUUUGGAGGAAUUUGAGACCUGCGGACGUCUCUCUUGCUUGUGCCGGAUUGGGUCCGUCGGGCGUCGGGUGCAGAGCAAUGGGAUUUGGGUGGAAAAGCUGCUUUCUGGUUGGUUUGGCUGA
rnacentral:lncRNA from 1 species